rnacentral:rRNA from 1 species
UACGGAGGGUGCAAGCGUUGUUCGGAAUUACUGGGCGUAAAGCGCGUGUAGGCGGUUUCCUCAGUCUGGUGUGCAAUCCCGCGGCUCACCCCCGGAAGUGCAUCGGAUACUGGGAGACUUGAGUACCGGAGAGGAGGGUGGAAUUCCUGGUGUAGCGGUGAAAUGCGUAGAUAUCAGGAAGAACACCGGUGGCGAAGGCGGCCCACUGGACGGAUACUGACGCUGAGACGCGAAAGCGUGGGGAGCAAACAGG